CAGAACUUUGGAGACGCCCAUUUUUAUGGGGGCCGAAGGUGCAAGCGUGCAACACGCCAAUCUCUCAGGCAAAAGGACAAAGA
rnacentral:ncRNA from 1 species